CUCUUGAGCUGGACCUACAUAGUUUAUGUUCCCUUGGCUGUACUGACUCCCUAGGUCCUACUAGGAUGCUCUUUAAGCCCCACCUACUUUAUUUAAAGCAAAGUAUAGAUCACAAUGCACAUACAUGACAAAGUACUUUGCUCCCCAAGUAUUUGGGGCUUCCUUCUCUGGGCUCAAGAAAAGUUUGGUUGUCACGACAUAGUUAGGAUGGCUUUCUACCUUAACAGAUUAAGUCAUGACUUUAUUAUGCUUGUCCCUUCCCAUAAUGUACCUAAUUUAAACCCUGAGUGCCCAAUUACACAACGGUGUCUAAUGGUAAAUGAGAUUCUCCCUGAACAUUCACAGCCUGCCUUACUGUCCAAGCCAACUCAGGUCAGAUUGGCCCUCAGACCCAAAUAUAUUGGGUAUAUGCUUAGAUGUAAUGUAUCUAAGCUCAGUGGGGGAAUGUAGAGCUUGAUGUAGGUGUGUGGAGGUCUUAGUUUGCUAAGAGGUUGAUACAUUGGAAUGGGAUGAGUGAACAUAGUACGUGCAGAUAGAGGUUCACUCUGUCACGUGCAUUGUUAGAAGAAUGGUAUGUGCAUAGCCCAAGCCAAGUGGAGCCCCAGUUGCUAAACUAUUUUCUGUGCUUUCCUGCCUCACUUGUGAUAUUAUUUUGGCAGUUGAGUUGGAAUUGAGGCAGAUACUUCUCAAGUUAAAUUUUCAUGCUUGGACUGAUCUGUAGCCUACCGACAGAGUCUUGCUUAGGAACCACGAAGCCCUGAGUUCAGUCCCCAGUCCUCAAAAGUAAAAGUUCCAUUCCAUGUUGGCCAGCUGUGGUGACUCCCACCUGUAAUCCUAACACUGAGAACGUUGAGGCAGGAGGAUUGAUGUGAGGGCAAGGCUAGCUGGGACCACAAUGUUAGGCUCUAUCUCAAAAAAAAUAUAAAAAAUAAAAAAACCAGUUAGCAUCAUGCCCACACAGCUUAGUAUUCAAAGUGGGUGGAGGUGCAGCCAGUGCAGUGGUGGAGCACCUUCAUUACGUGCACAGCCCUGGCAGUGUGUGUGUGCUAACCUGCACAAGAUCAGGCCUGCCAGCAUUCCAGCAUGGAUGGGGCGGGGCUCAGAAGGCCCCACCCCUAGCUGAAGAACUGUUGAAAUUGAUGGCUGCUGGAAGAGGGAGGGUCAGUUUUCUUCAGGGGUGUUCCCCCUAGUCACUAAUGGGUUGCCCAUAUGUCAGUAGUUAGCUCCAUACCUGCUGAUGCUCAACCUGUUACAUAAAUAUUGUAGUAUCUGCACCCACAUAACUGCACAAAUGUGCUGAAAAUCCUUUGAAAAUCCUAGUGCAUUGUUAAGGGAAUAAUAAGAAAAACCUCCUUAUGGGGCUGGAAUGAUGGCUCAGUGAUUAAGAGUACCAGCUGCUCUUCCAGAGGUCCUGAGUCCAAUUCCCAGCAACCACAUGGUAACUUUUAACCAUUUAUAAUGAGUUCUGAUGUCCUCUUCUGGCAUGCAGUUGUACAUGCAGAUAGAGCACACACACACAUAUAUCUUUUUUUAAAAAGAAAAACCUCUAUGUCAGUAAACUUUUUGUUUGUGUGUGUGGUGGGGGGAGUCCUGGUUAGUUGACUCCUCACCUCAGCUACAGAGAGCUAGACAUACAGAAGUGUAAAUAACUGCUGGGAUUCUGUCUUAGGGUUUUCAUUGCUGUGAAGAGACACCAUGACCAAGGCAACAUCAUAAAGGACAUUUAAUUGGGGCUGGCUUAACAGUUCAGAGGUUUGAAGGCGGGAAGCAUGGCAGCCUGCACGCAUGCAUGGUACUGGAAGAGCUGAGAGUUCUACAUCUUGUUCCGAAGGCAAACAGGAGAAGACUGACUUCAGGCAGCUAGGAGGAGAGUCUUAAAGCCCACCCCCACAGUGAUAGUUACUCCAACAAGGAGUAACUAUCUCCUAAUAUAGGUGCCACACCCUGGGCCAAGUGUUUUCAAACUACCACAGUAAAAAAACAUGUAUUUACUGUAUUUUAUACACACACACACUCUCACGGAGGACUAUAUAUACUAUCACAUGUAAAAACACCUGUACUUUGAGUAUUUCAAAAUUAUGAGUGAACACUGCCACCCAAAUGUGCGUUAUGAUCUAUGUUGUUUACUUGACUUUGUAGCUGUCACUAAAUGCAUAACACCUUAGGUCUGAUCUCUAGCAUUGUAUAACUAAACAAAAUCAACACUUGAACUACUGUUAGGAACAACACUCACUUUGGGCAGCAUUCAGGACAUAAGAACUGUUUUUCCAUUUACUUAUGUACACAGUGCUUUGCCUGCAUGUACACCUGCAUGCCAGAAGAGGGCACAGGUCCCAGUAGAGGCGGUUGUGGGCCACCAUGUGGUGGUAGGAAUUGAACUCAGGACCUCUGAGCCAUCUCUCCAGCCCCACAUUGGAACUUCUGAAGAGCAGGUGCUCUUCCGGGACACUGGACAAAGAAGAGAAAGAAAAAAUCCGGAGAAUAGCUGAAACAUGUAACUAAAGAUUUCAGGGGAGUGAGUAUGGUUGACCCAGUAUAAGGCGUGAGGGGGAGGGAGGAUGGAAUUCAGCCCAGGGCCCCACACAUGCGAGGCAAGCUCUUAGCCCUGGUUUGUUUUUCUUUCUUUCUUACUGGGAUCUCUGGCUGGCCUCAUAAUGGAAACUUGCAGCAAUCCUUCUGCCUCUGCUUCCUCAGUUCCGGGAUUACAGGUGACCUCACAAUACUUGGAGGGAGGGGACAGUAGUUGCCAGACAUGAUAGCACUGGACCUUCAUUUCAGGCCUCAGGGGGCAGAGGCAAGCGGAUUUCCAUGAGUUCCAGGCCAACACACACACACACACACACACAUACACACACACACACACACACACACACACACACACACACACACGACAAAAACUGAUCAAAAGUAACCUGGAGAAAGUGAGGGAGGAAGCCACACAGACACCGAGGGCAGUGUACUUCAGAUGAGGGAACAGUAAAUGUGAAGGUUCUGAGGCAGGAACGUGUCUGAAGACCAAGGGAGCCAGUGUGUGUGGCUGUGGGAAUAAAAAGAAGGGGGUAGAGAGAUGGUUCCGUGGUUCAGAACCCUUGCUGCUCUUACCUAUGACCUGGGUUCAAUUCCCAGCACCCACGUGGUGGCUCGACCAUGUGCAACGCCAGUUCUGUAGGCUCUGCUGCCCUCUCCUUCUGCCCUAGAGCACCAGGCUCACACGUAAUGCUCUAUGUAUACCAUAUAUUAAAAAAAAUUUUUUUUUUUUGAAGAAAUAAACUUGAAACUAGGUAAUAAGAACCAGGCUAGAUCCUCUUCCACUCAGCCCUGCAGGAGAACCUAGGCCACCCCCAGGAAUGCCACAGUGACCGCUGCACUAAAGCUUUGCCCUCUGGGUGUGUGGCAUCCUGCAGAGGGUCCAGAGUCGGUUGGCUGGCAGCUUUGCUGUGUGGAAGGAAGUGCUUAGCGGGGAAGAGCGGGAGUGGCUGAAUCCCUGCCAGACUCAUAAUGCUUUCAGAGUCUGUUCUUCCCAUGGGUAGGAGGAGCCUCUUCCUUAGCAUCCUCCAUGGAAGCUCCCGGAGAUAAUGAAGCUCACCCCAUCCACCCCCACCGCCACCCCCACACGGAGCAGUUUUGGGAAAUCACGUGGAGCAGCACAGGUUUUAAGGAGGCUUUGGGGACUGUUAAUAGAAGGCUGAGCGGGAUACAGGAAGAGGCUGUAAAGAGUGCCUGCCUUCCCUGAGAUGUGGCCAGGUGAUGAAAUAUUAAUGCUGCUCCUGACUGUUGAGGGAGUGUGCCUAAUGAUGUCAUCAGAUAUCUGGGCAGGGGGUCAAGUGUGCAGUGAGUUUUGGGCUCAAUCAAAAAUUGCUCAGUGGGUGCUACGAAUGGAUUGCCGGAGUGCUCAAUUUCUGGAGUGCUGGGAUUUUAAGUGUGAACCAUCACAAGUGCCUCAGCCCAUCACAUCUUAGGUGCCUUUAGGACUUUCUGUUGCUGCUAGUAACAGUGUUGUAUGGAGCAUCUUCAGGGAAAUGCCCCUACACAGAUCUGGGAGCCACAUCGUCUUUUUGUUUUGAGACAGUUUCUUAUGUGGUCCAGGCUGGCCUCAAAGUUGCGAAUAACCUUGAACUCCUGAUUCUCCGGCCUCUAGGGACUACAGCAUGCAGCAGCACACCAGGCUGAAUGCUGCCUUUUGAUAACAAAAACAAGAUGGCAUUACAAAAUCGUUGAGGAGGGCUGGAGAGAUGGCUCAGCAGUUAAGAGAAAUGGCUGCUCUUCCAGAGGACCUGGGUUCAAUACGCAGCAACACACAACUGUCUGCAACUCCAUUUCCAAGGGAUCUGACAACCGUACACAGGCAUGCAUGGAGGCAGAACACUAAUGUACAUAGUUAAUUAAUUAAUUAAUUAAUCAAUCAAGUAGUUGAGCAACAUACUAUAAUACACUCCCACACUUGGCAGUAAAGGAGGUAGUGCUACCCAGCGCCCUAGGGACAGGUCUGAGUAGAAGCAAGGACAUAGGUAGCAGGGUCCCUCACCCAGCUGUGCCAUUACAUCAUGACAUCAUCCAGGAACUAGAAAGGACACAGUCAUGCCUGCUGACUCAGCACGGUCACUAAAGGAGGCACUGAUGAAACCCAGUGCAACUAAGUAGCCUGGCAGAGCUGGAUCUUCCCCAUUGUGCUCUGUUCCUCCCUGGACAGGUGGGCGUGCACACAUGCUCAGCAGUAGCUUGCAUGUUCUCUAGCAGGUCCCAUGGCUCCAGGAGGUCUUGAGCUGCUCCCGGGCUCAGAGAGAGGGUAUAAGCCAACAAGUAGACAAGUGCCUCCCUACCCCAUUCUGCACCCCAACAAGGUUUCUCUGUGCAGCCCUGCCUGUCCUGGAACUCACUUUGUAGCCCAGGCUGGCCUUAAACUCAGAGAUCUGCCUGUCUCUGCCUCCCAAGUACUGGGAUUAAAGGUGUGUGUCACCAAGCCUGGCUUGUAGCAGUUGUAACUACACUCCUUUAGGGAGUCAUAGUCCUCGCAUAUCAGCAGCUGUCUGUCACCCUGCAAUACCAAGUGAGCCAGUCUGCUUUCAUCUUGAGUGACUUGGAAGAGCCUGGAUAAAUCAUACCCUGAUACCACAAUGUCUUGCUACUGGCCACAGUUGGUCAAAUGACCAUACCAACUGUAAGAGGCCGGGGGAUGAACAUCGAGCCUGUUUGCUAUGUGCUGAGGCUGGUGGACCCAGGGGAGGGGUGCAUCAAGCAUGGAGUGAAUGCAGGAUUGUUGGAAACUGUUAAUAGCUUUGGGGACCAAAAUAACAUUUAGGGGUUGCUGGGCAGAUUUAUCUGUAAAAUAUGUUUCUUUCCUUUUCUUUUUCUCUUCUCUUCUUUUCUUCUCUUUUCUUUCCUAACUAUCUUAUAAAAUAAGUCACAAAAACCUCCAAGACACAAGCUGCGCUUAAGUACCAUAAAUUAUCAGCAGGCACAUAUUCCAACAACAGCUCCCCAAAGCAGGAAGCACAGGCCACAGCAGACCUGGGAAUUUCAGUUGUUAGCUGCAGUGGUUCUGCAACACUAAACCCGGCUUCUGAAAGUUCUGGCUUUGCAGACGUAGAUUUAUAUCUUUUUCCUUUUGUUUCUUAUGUCUUUUUGAGCCAAGGUCUUACUGUGUAGUCCAGACAGACCUAGGACUUAAGCCAUCCUCCUUUUUCAACCUCCUGAGCCUCCACCACAUGGUGUACAGAACUCUCUUUAAAAAGCAUGUGUGUGUUGAAGCCGGGUGUGGUGGCGCACGCCUUUCAUCCCAGCACUUGGGAGGCAGAGGCAGGCGGAUUUCUGAGUUCGAGGCCAGCCUGGUCCACAAAGUGAGUUCCAGGACAGCCAGGGCUACACAGAGAAACCCUGUCUCGAAAAUCCAAAAAAAAAAAAAAAAAAAAGUGUGUGUGUGUGUGUGUGUGCACGAACACUUGUGUGAACAUGUGCACGCAUACAAUGUGCUCGUGCACACACACGCGCACCUGCACCCACUCAUACAUGCACACACAGGAAGACCCUAGGUGUAUGGCUGUACCACUCUCUGACCUAUUCUUUUGAGACUGAAUUUCUCACUGAACCUGUUGCUAUACUGGGUAUAUGCAGCCAUGCCUGCCUUUUUAAUGUGGGUUCUUGGGAUUUGAACCCAAGUCCUCAGGCUUGCCGCGCAACUGUUCUUAUCCACAGAGUUAUCUUCAAAGCCUCAGAGCUCUGUUUUUCAACAGGAGGCAGUGAACACGCAGUGUGUCCAUGAGCAUAGGAAAUGAGGCUGUCCUCCAUCUCCUAGAACAAAUGAAAUGUGAGCGUUCCCUAGGUAACAGACCAGCCUCCUCAUGGCUCGAGCAGCAAGGGAAUGAGACGCCCCGAGAGACUGUGCAACUUGCUGUGUCCUCUAACUGUGGGCCACACUACAGCCUAAGGGUCAGUCAGCUAUUGGAGACUCCCAGCUCUGGGCAGCUGCCCUGUGGUCCCAGCCAGAGUGUGCAUCUACCUCAGCUCAGCACAGGGAGUGUAGAGAUGCUGCAUCUGAGAAAGGCUCCUCUUCCCGGCCUGACCACCAUCUUUGCUGAUGCAAACUCUGCCUGGGGCUGCCCCAGGCACCCUCAGUGAGCACUGCCAAUCCAGUUACUAGCGUCAGGUCAGACUCCAGAGAGUAUGGGCUGCCUCCCUUUCCCCGCCCUGGCCUUUGUGCCCACGGUGCAGCUGACCCAGUUCUUUGUAGAGAGGUGGGAAAUAACCCUAGUCAGAUGAGAGGAGAUGAAGCAAAUGCAGAGAUACUUGAAAGUUCAGACAUAGCUCUCCUAGGAGGGGGUGAGAAGCACCGGCCUUGUCUCUUCCCAGCAUUUGAGGGAGGAAGAAGACUUCCAAAAUACCAGAAGAUGAGGGACGAGUGCAAAGCAUUCUGUCUUCUGGAGAGGGAUGAGUCAUGCAGAUCACGUGAUCUCCUAGCCCCACCCCACCCCCAUACUGCAAAUGUACUCACAUUGAGUGCACCUUAGAUCUCUCCCGCCCUCCACCUUCUCCCUUCCUUCAAAACAAAAACACCAGCUGAAAGCCCACUAUUUCCCUCCCUGUCUGCAAGCCUGCCGUGGUGUGGCAGCCGAUAGCGAGGCCCCGGGCUCUGACUCAGACCUCCUUCCAGGUUGCCUGCUUUCUGCAAAAGGAACUUAGAAGCAGAUGAACGGGUCUUCGGGGCAUGCAUGCAUCCAAGGCGGUACAGGUGCACCUCAGGAUUAAAGUCAGCAGCAGCAAGGAUCAUGGACGUCCACAUGGUUUCUGGCUACAGCACGGGCCGCAGACAGACCAUGGACAUUCCCAAGGCCUUUGGUGGUAACAAGGACCAUGAGCAUCAACCCCAGGGGCAGCACAGCUCACUGUCACCAACGUGGCUUCGGGCAGCAGCUCAGAUCUCCACAUCCACCUGGCCUUCAGUGGUAACUCUCGCAACUGGCAAUUUCUUAAAGAGACAAGUCUCUUAUGUAGUGAGACCUCAAAUCCACAGAAAACCUCUGACUCCCAAGUGUUGGGAUUAAAGGGCCAGAACAAACAAGGAACCGAGGAAGUGAUUGGGUCCUGCGGAUCGCGUUACGGAACCUCUGAGGGCUGUACUUGUCCAGGCCAGCCUUCACAUCCUAUCUCACCUCACCUGACCCUUUUCCACCACGAGGGGGGGAUCUGUUUUCUUUGGGCAGCCUCUCCACAUGUGAUGUCCCCGAGCAGAACAGAUGAACCUCAUCAGUGUGGAGUGGCCCUAGAAAGAAGUGAUGCGCUCUGAGAUGUGUUCUCUUUGUGCAGGCCCCCCUCUGUGAGAAGGCACCUGAUAGCUAGUGCUAAUCCUAUGUAAAUCUCUAUUGGCUUCCUGGAAAGAUGGCCUUUGGACACGCUAGCUCGCUAGCUCGGGCUCCUGGAAUUCAUUAUAGAGCACAAGCCAACACUGAAGUCAAAGCAAUCCCCCGGUUUUUGUCACCAAUCUUGCUUUAGAUGGGCUUUGUUGUUUUGUUUAUUUCUGAGACAAGGUUUCUCUGUAGAGGAGGUUUCAAGAUCCUCCUGCCUUGGGAUUAAAGGUAUGUCUGGACUUAAGGUGGUUAGUUUUUUGUUGUUGUUUUGUUUAAAGUUUUAUUUUUUGUGUAGGAGUGUUUUGCUUCUCUCUCUCUCUCUCUCUCUCUCUCUCUCUCUCUCUCUCUGUGUUUGUGUGAGUGUGUGUGUGUUUGUGUAAGUGUGUGUGUGUGUGUACUUAAUAUGUACCUGGUGCCCACAGAUGGCCUGGAACUGCAGAUUAUGAGUUGUCAUGUGGGUGCAGGUGAGUCCUCUGAUGGUGUGUCAAGUCCUCUUUCCUGCUGAGUGGCUCUGGAGUCAUCUUUGCCUCAACACAUUUGUCUCAAAGCUCAAUACUUCGAAGUCACUUUAAAAGUAGAUGGUUUGUAUCACUGAAUAAAUUCACCAGAUGUGGAGGUUGGGCGGUCCAUGCCUGUCUGUAGGACCAGGGUUCAAUUCCCAGCAUCCAUCCCGGGUAGCUUACAACUACUUACAAUUCCAGCUCCAGAGGUCUGAUACUCUCUUCUGGCCUCCACGGACACUUGCAUAUAUUUAUACCAACAUAUAAAUAAAAAACGAAAACAAACAAAAACCCCCCAAAAAUCCUUCAAGCAUAAAUAAAAAUAAAACUUAAAAAAAAUUAAGGUGGUAUGUUUUGUGAUACCAGAUUGCUCCAGCUCAACCUCCUUGACAGACCAACUCUUGCUUCUGGUAAGAUUUCAUCCCCCUUAGCAAGGGGGAAAGGAAGGACAGGUAGCUGGAUUUGGGUCCUGUAACAUUUAUACAAGAGGAAACCGAGAAAGGUAGGCAUCGGACAGCAGACUCUCCACAGGGCCUUGAUCCAGCGACAUCACCUCUUUACGGGCCCCCCUAAGUGUGAACUGAAUACGAACACUUCACUUUUUGGAGGAAUAAAAAUGAGAGUCACAGCCA